rnacentral:antisense_RNA from 1 species
CUUCACCGACCCCAGCCACAGCGGCUCGCCCGCCCGGUCGCGGCCGUAGGUCGCCAGCAGCGCCUGGGCCUC